AUCUGGGGGUUUAAAGAGCCGCUCGGUCCGCUGCGGAGAACCGGAGGAUGUGAGGAGGUGAGGAGCUUCGAGAUUUACGUUUUUUGAGGAGGUUUGAGGAGAAACUGAAGAGAAUUCACGGCCUCAGGAUGUGACCUACGGCGGUGGAGAAUACGUCAAAUUCUCCAAGGAGAAGUUCUGGCUGGAGCCGCCGUCAGAGAAGCUGAGGAAGGAACUGGAGGAGGAGCUGAAGCUGAGCGGAGCAG